rnacentral:rRNA from 1 species
AUGAACGCUAGCUACAGGCUUAACACAUGCAAGUCGAGGGGCAGCAUGAACUUAGCUUGCUAAGUUUGAUGGCGACCGGCGCACGGGUGAGUAACACGUAUCCAACCUUCCGUUUACUCAGGGAUAGCCUUUCGAAAGAAAGAUUAAUACCUGAUAGUAUGGUGAGAUUGCAUGAUAGCACCAUUAAAGAUUUAUUGGUAAACGAUGGGGAUGCGUUCCAUUAGGUAGUAGGCGGGGUAACGGCCCACCUAGCCAACGAUGGAUAGGGGUUCUGAGAGGAAGGUCCCCCACAUUGGAACUGAGACACGGUCCAAACUCCUACGGGAGGCAGCAGUGAGGAAUAUUGGUCAAUGGGCGAGAGCCUGAACCAGCCAAGUAGCGUGAAGGAUGAAGGUCCUACGGAUUGUAAACUUCUUUUAUACGGGAAUAAAGUUUCCUACGUGUAGGAUUUUGUAUGUACCGUAUGAAUAAGCAUCGGCUAACUCCGUGCCAGCAGCCGCGGUAAUACGGAGGAUGCGAGCGUUAUCCGGAUUUAUUGGGUUUAAAGGGAGCGCAGACGGGAGAUUAAGUCAGUUGUGAAAGUUUGCGGCUCAACCGUAAAAUUGCAGUUGAUACUGGUUUCCUUGAGUGCAGUUGAGGCAGGCGGAAUUCGUGGUGUAGCGGUGAAAUGCUUAGAUAUCACGAAGAACCCCGAUUGCGAAGGCAGCUUGCUAAACUGUAACUGACGUUCAUGCUCGAAAGUGUGGGUAUCAAACAGGAUUAGAUACCCUGGUAGUCCACACGGUAAACGAUGGAUACUCGCUGUUGGCGAUAUACUGUCAGCGGCCAAGCGAAAGCAUUAAGUAUCCCACCUGGGGAGUACGCCGGCAACGGUGAAACUCAAAGGAAUUGACGGGGACCCGCACAAGCGGUGGAGCAUGUGGUUUAAUUCGAAGCAACGCGAAGAACCUUGCCAAGUCUUGACAUCCUUCUGACCGGUACUUAACCGUACCUUCUCUUCGGAGCAGGAGUGACAGGUGGUGCAUGGUUGUCGUCAGCUCGUGUCGUGAGAUGUUGGGUUAAGUCCCGCAACGAGCGCAACCCUUAUCCUUUGUUGCCAGCGGUCCGGCCGGGAACUCAAAGGAGACUGCCAGUGAUAAACUGGAGGAAGGUGGGGAUGACGUCAAAUCAGCACGGCCCUUACGUCCGGGGCUACACACGUGUUACAAUGGGAGGUACAGAAGGCAGCUACCCGGCGACGGGAUGCCAAUCCCCAAAACCUCUCUCAGUUCGGACUGGAGUCUGCAACCCGACUCCACGAAGCUGGAUUCGCUAGUAAUCGCGCAUCAGCCACGGCGCGGUGAAUACGUUCCCGGGCCUUGUACACACCGCCCGUCAAGCCAUGAAAGCCGGGGGUACCUGAAGUGCGUAACCGCAAGGAGCGCCCUAGGGUAAAACCGGUAAUUGGGGCU